AGAGCUCAGGGUUUUCCGUCACGACCUUACUUGAACAGGAUCUGUUCUAUAGGCUCGUACAACCGUAUCCUUGAUUGCAAAGGAGACGGGCAACUCAGUCUGGUGGAUGACUCUUGACCUCAGGGCUGGAGCGUGAUUAUUGGUAGGAAUCCUUCGGAGUUCUUGCUGUAGAGGAUCGUUCUCGGAUGAUUUCGAUCGUCUGGGAUGGCCAUGAGGUUGUCUGACAGACUCCCCCUCUCUUUUUUUUUGCUCGUAAUUUUUGAUCAAUUCUUCUUCAUGCCUUCUCCGGCGUCGGCUUCAUGCCUUCUCAGGCCACCCAGGCCCCCGAUCCCUCCCCCGCCAAGAUUCGCGGGGCUCAGGGCGCCGUGCCGCUGACCGUGAAGCAGAUCGCCGAAGCCUACUACGCCAGAGAUGACAAGUCCAUCCUUACCGUCAAUGGCUCUGAAGUCACCAGCGUUAACAGUCCCUCCUCCUCCACCCUCCCCUCCCUUCUUCUUGGAAAUCCCUGAUCCCAAUCCUAAUUUCUUUUCUUGCUCUUGGUUUUGGUUGGGCGACUACUACAGGUCAGGCUAUUGGGUCUGAUCUUGAAUAAGGCGGAGAGUGUCGCUGACAUCUCCUUCACCCUUGAUGACGGCACGGGCCGGAUCGACAUCAAUAGAUGGGUCAAUGAGUUCUCGGAUGCAAAUGAAGUGGCUGCAAUCCAAAAUGGGAUGUAUGUUAGAGUUGAUGCUCAUAUGAAGGGGUUUCAGGGCAAAAGACAUGCCUUCUCUGUGAGGUAAAAAAUUUCGAUUCCCCCGCCUUUAGGAGCCUGUUUGAUGUGAGUAGGGCAUUGGCUGAAUGCCUUGCAAUUUGGUGAUGGCUUCAGAUCUCAUGUGUCUGUUCCCAACUUGAUGCCGUUAGUGUCUGUUCUUCCAUUACAUUGUUUAUAGGUACAAGUGCGGGAAAGUGCGAGGAUCUUGCUUUUUAAGAAAUAAGCUCGAACAGGAAAUUAUGAAGUUGUUAGCUGACUGAAAUAACUUUCAGAACUUAUCAGUUUUAUGGAAGAAAUUUGGGAAUGUAAAUUGUGCAACCGACAAUGUUGAGGAAGCCUGAAGAACUCAUAAUGGCCAUGUCAGGAACGUAUUGUUAGUGGGCUUUUGACUGAUCUUAUGUGUCCAGCUUUAGACCUAGAUGACUAUUGAUGAUGAUACAGCAGCAGCAACAAGAACAACAAAGGAAUGAAAUUGGAGAAAAUGCCUUUUGUUCAUUUGCUCAUGUUAUGUCAAACCUUGUGUAGUAAGCUGUGCGGAUAAUAUCAUCUAACAAUUAUUCAAUAUUUUAUUAUUUCGAGACUUCGUUUAUUUCUUAUAUUCCAUUGCUCGUUCCCUAUUAGUGUUCCUUGGAAAAUUAUUUCUUCAAACCUGGAGAUAAAAUGUCUUAUUCCCAUCCUAUGCUAAAAUUUUGAAUAAAACAAACUAUGCAAUGCAGUCAUAGAUUCAGCUCAUAAUGUUCUAGUCUGUAUCUUAGAAAAUUUUAAGAUCAACCAGCUAUUUGUUUACUGUGAUAUAUCUGAGUGAUUUAUGUUGAUUAAUUGAUGAGACUAGGGAUAUCCAAAGAACUAUUCAAAGGAGUAAUUCCCAUGAAUGAGGAGUGCUGCUAUGCUCCAUUCUUUUGUAUGUCUUGAAGUUAUGCUUUUACACUGCCAUGAAAAAGUGACAUUGGUUGAUGAUUGUAUAUGGAAUGACAAAAAAUACUUUUUUGUGCACAUCUGAUAAAAUUUACAUUCUUGCAAAAUACAUGCGAUGUGACAAAAUGUGAAAGCCUCUUUUCAGAGCCAGGUCAAUGUUUUGGUUUUCCUCGAAGAAAAUUUCUUUGGCUUCAAAUGUGUAUUGAACUAUAUAUGGGGACUAAAUAUCACUUAGAAAAGCAUGGAUUCCUAUCAAACAUAUUAUGCUGCCCCAGCAAAA